rnacentral:lncRNA from 1 species
GGAGGGAACGCUGCUCCUGGAGUGGUGGGCAGCUGUUGGGAGCUGCUCAGGCUGGAGCCACGGGAUUUUAAAGGACCUGUCUCUGUCAUUUUUACUUUUAGGAUUUUGGCCAAAUUGGGCGAGGGUACAAUAUUACCACUUACCCCUUCUCACCGAGGAAGAGCGGGAGAAAGGGUAAGUAUGGCACAGUCACAAGGCUGGGUGCGAAGAUGCUUCAAGGCCUUUUGCAAAGGCUUCUUUGUGGCGGUGCCUGUGGCAGUCACUUUCUUGGAUCGGGUGGUCUGUGUGGCUCGAGUGGAGGGAUCGUCGAUGCAGCCUUCUUUGAAUCCUGGGGGAAGCCAGUCCUCAGAUGUGGUACUUCUGAACCACUGGAAAGUGAGGAAUUUUGAAGUACAGCGUGGUGACAUUGUGUCAUUGGUGU